AACGAACGCUGGCGGCGCGCUUAACACAUGCAAGUCGUAACGAGAAGGCGUAGCAAUACGCUUGUAAAGUGGCGAACGGGUGAGGAAUACAUGGGUAACCUACCCUCGAGUGGGGGAUAACCCGCCGAAGGCGGGCUAAUACCGCGUACGCUUCCGAUCUUGCGGGAUCGGAAGGAAAGCUGUCCCUUGGGGAUAGGCGCUCAAGGAUGGGCUCAUGUCCUAUCAGCUUGUGUAGGUACG
rnacentral:rRNA from 1 species